GACGAACGCUGGCGGCGUGCUUAACACAUGCAAGUCGAACGGAAAGGCCCUGCUGUUGUGGGGUGCUCGAGUGGCGAACGGGUGAGUAACACGUGAGUAACCUGCCCUUGACUUUGGGAUAACUUCAGGAAACUGGGGCUAAUACCGGAUAGGAGCUCCUGCUGCAUGGUGGGGGUUGGAAAGUUUCGGCGGUUGGGGAUGGACUCGCGGCUUAUCAGCUUGUUGGUGGGGUAGUGGCUUACCAAGGCUUUGACGGGUAGCCGGCCUGAGAGGGUGACCGGCCACAUUGGGACUGAGAUACGGCCAAGACUCCUACGGGAGGCAGCAGUGGGGAAUAUUGCACAAUGGGCGGAAGCCUGAUGCAGCAACGCCGCGUGCGGGAUGACGGCCUUCGGGUUGUAAACCGCUUUCGCCUGUGACGAAGCGUGAGUGACGGUAAUGGGUGAAGAAGCACCGGCUAACUACGUG
rnacentral:rRNA from 1 species